rnacentral:misc_RNA from 1 species
AAAUACCGUAAUUAUCAAAAAGGCCUGCAAUCAUAUAUCAGCAUGAUUUUCUUAAACCAUGACUGAGAAACUAAAACAACAUUACCAGAAGAGAUCGUUAUGGUGCGGCUGUUGCUCGAUUUAAAUGCUCCGCCGGAAGAAGAUGGCUGCAGAGCCAGCUAAACAACAUCAACUUGUUGAUUUUCAAAUGAUGAGAAUUUUUCUAAUCUAGUUAUUCUAAUUUCCUCAUACGGAAACUUUCUACCCAAAUUAAAAAUAUUAACUUAUUUGCUGGAACUUCAGAGAAAAUGUAGCUAACUUUGAAUAAUAUACUCAUGUAUAGUAUGUGAUUUUAAUACAGAAAAAUAUAUCUCACAAGAAAUAUGAAAAUAUUCGGAUAUACUUUUCAACAAUCUUCAAAAGCUCCAACAAAAAACGAGUUAUUUAAUAUUAAUAAAGAGGUAUAUUAAGAAAAAAAAAUGUAAAUUUUAUUACUUUAUUUGUGUUUGCGGCAGGCAGGGGGGGAGGGAGUCGUUGGUUGUAAAGCUCUUCACCGUCAAAUCAAACCCUUUCCCGGUUUACAAUUUUCGCUCCCUCUUUUUAGUGCGACCAGAUACAUCUCCUUCUCUCUCUCUCGGAUUACUUAAUCGAUAGGGUUAGGGUUUCUCUGCAACUCCUUCUCUCUUUGAAAAGCCAUCGGCUCCCGUUUUGAUUGUCCUCAAUUCUUAUUCUCAUUGUUUUCAAUCUUCCUUCGGUUUUAGUAACUUGCUUUGCAUUUUGAGAGGAAUUGUUCCUCUACAACCAUGGAACGCAAGACAAUCGACUUGGACCAAGGAUGGGAUUUUAUGCAGAAA